rnacentral:rRNA from 1 species
GAUGAACGCUGGCGGCGUGCCUAAUACAUGCAAGUCGAGCGAACGGACGAGAAGCUUGCUUCUCUGAUGUUAGCGGCGGACGGGUGAGUAACACGUGGAUAACCUACAUAUAAGACUGGGAUAACUUCGGGAAACCGGAGCUAAUACAGGAUAAUAUUUUGAAACGCAUGGUUCAACAGUGAAAAACGGUCUUGCUGUCACUUAUAGAUGGAACCGCGCUGCAUUAGCUAGUUGGUAAGGUAACGGCUUACCAAGGCAACGAUGCAUAGCCGACCUGAGAGGGUGAUCGGCCACACUGGAACUGAGACACGGUCCAGACUCCUACGGGAGGCAGCAGUAGGGAAUCUUCCGCAAUGGGCGAAAGCCUGACGGAGCAACGCCGCGUGAGUGAUGAAGGUCUUCGGAUCGUAAAACUCUGUUAUUAGGGAAGAACAUAUGUGUAAGUAACUGUUCACAUCUUGACGGUACCUAAUCAGAAAGCCACGGCUAACUACGUG